UUAUUGGGCGUAAGAGCUCGUAGGCGGUUUGUCGCGUCUGCCGUGAAAGUCCGGGGCUCAACUCCGGAUCUGCGGUGGGUACGGGCAGACUAGAGUGAUGUAGGGGAGACUGGAAUUCCUGGUGUAGCGGUGAAAUGCGCAGAUAUCAGGAGGAACACCGAUGGCGAAGGCAGGUCUCUGGGCAUUAACUGACGCUGAGGAGCGAAAGCAUGGGGAGCGAACAGGAUUAGAUACCCUGGUAGUCCAUGCCGUAAACGUUGGGCACUAGGUGUGGGGGACAUUCCACGUUUUCCGCGCCGUAGCUAACGCAUUAAGUGCCCCGCCUGGGGAGUACGGCCGCAAGGCUAAAACUCAAAGGAAUUGACGGGGGCCCGCACAAGCGGCGGAGCAUGCGGAUUAAUUCGAUGCAACGCGAAGAACCUUACCAAGGCUUGACAUGAACCGGUAAUACCUGGAGACAGGUGCCCCGCUUGCGGUCGGUUUACAGGUGGUGCAUGGUUGUCGUCAGCUCGUGUCGUGAGAUGUUGGGUUAAGUCCCGCAACGAGCGCAACCCUCGUUCUAUGUUGCCAGCACGUGAUGGUGGGGACUCAUAGGAGACUGCCGGGGUCAACUCGGAGGAAGGUGGGGACGACGUCAAAUCAUCAUGCCCCUUAUGUCUUGGGCUUCACGCAUGCUACAAUGGCCGGUACAAAGGGUUGCGAUACUGUGAGGUGGAGCUAAUCCCAAAAAGCCGGUCUCAGUUCGGAUUGGGGUCUGCAACUCGACCCCAUGAAGUCGGAGUCGCUAGUAAUCGCAGAUCAGCAACGCUGCGGUGAAUACGUUCCCGGGGCUUGUACACACCGCCCGUCAAGUCACGAAAGUUGGUAACACCCGAAGCCGGUGGCCUAACCCCUUGUGGGAGGGAGCUGUCGAAGUGGGACUGGCGAUUGGGAC
rnacentral:rRNA from 1 species